AACGAACGCUGGCGGCAGGCUUAACACAUGCAAGUCGAACGCCCCGCAAGGGGAGUGGCAGACGGGUGAGUAACGCGUGGGAAUCUACCUAGUUCUACGGAACAACACAGGGAAACUUGUGCUAAUACCGUAUACGCCCUACGGGGGAAAGAUUUAUCGGAAUUAGAUGAGCCCGCGUAAGAUUAGCUAGUUGGUGGGGUAAUGGCCUACCAAGGCGACGAUCUUUAGCUGGUCUGAGAGGAUGAUCAGCCACACUGGGACUGAGACACGGCCCAGACUCCUACGGGAGGCAGCAGUGGGGAAUCCUGGACAAUGGGCGCAAGCCUGAUCCAGCCAUGCCGCGUGAGUGAAGAAGGCCUUAGGGUUGUAAAACUCUUUCGCCGGAGAAGAUAAUGACGGUAUCCGGAGAAGAAGCCCCGGCUAACUUCGUGCCAGCCGCCGCAGUAAAAC
rnacentral:rRNA from 1 species